CCCGUCGUGAGGCGGGAUCUGAAGGGAACCGGAACCACAACUCGGACUCGACGAACAGAAAUCGGAUACAAGGCCGCUGACGCUGGGCAACGUGGCAAUGGACACGGACGCCCGAUACUCAUCCGGAAGCGUCUGCGGUAGAUCCGGCGAGGCCCGAGGGAAGCAAACACG
rnacentral:ncRNA from 1 species